rnacentral:rRNA from 1 species
GCAAGUCGAGCGCGCCUUCGGGCGAGCGGCGGACGGGUUAGUAACGCGUGGGAACGUGCCCAGAUCUACGGAAUAGCCACUGGAAACGGUGAGUAAUACCGUAUACGCCCUUCGGGGGAAAGAUUUAUCGGAUUUGGAUCGGCCCGCGUUAGAUUAGGUAGUUGGUGGGGUAACGGCCUACCAAGCCUACGAUCUAUAGCUGGUUUUAGAGGAUGAUCAGCAACACUGGGACUGAGACACGGCCCAGACUCCUACGGGAGGCAGCAGUGGGGAAUCUUGGACAAUGGGGGCAACCCUGAUCCAGCCAUGCCGCGUGAGUGAAGAAGGCCCUAGGGUCGUAAAACUCUUUCGCCUGUGAUGAUAAUGACAGUAGCAGGUAAAGAAACCCCGGCUAACUCCGUGCCAGCAGCCGCGGUAAUACGGAGGGGGUUAGCGUUGUUCGGAAUUACUGGGCGUAAAGCGCACGUAGGCGGAUUAGAAAGUUAGA